rnacentral:rRNA from 1 species
UACAGAGGGUGCGAGCGUUGUCCGGAAUCACUGGGCGUAAAGGGCGCGUAGGUGGCUCGUUAAGCGUGUGGUGAAAGCCUGGGGCUCAACCCCAGGUCUGCCGUGCGAACUGGCGAGCUUGAGCAGAGUAGAGGCGAGUGGAAUUUCGGGUGUAGCGGUGGAAUGCGUAGAUAUCCGGAGGAACACCGGUGGCGAAGGCGGCUUCCUGGACCGACACUGACGCUGAGGCGCGAAAGCUAGGGGAGCAAACGGG